rnacentral:rRNA from 1 species
GUUCCGACCUGCACGAAUGGCGUAACGACAGCGGCGCUGUCUCCACCCGAGACUCAGUGAAAUUGAAAUCGCUGUGAAGAUGCAGCGUUCCCGUGGCAAGACGGAAAGACCCCGUGAACCUUUACUAUAGCUUUACACUGAACGUUGAGUUCGUCUGUGUAGGAUAGGUGGGAGGCUAUGAAACUGUGGCGCUAGCUGCAGUGGAGCCAUCCUUGAAAUACCACCCUGUCGUGCUUGACGUUCUAACCUAGGUCCGUUAUCCGGAUCAGGGACCGUGUAUGGUGGGUAGUUUGACUGGGGCGGUCUCCUCCUAAAGAGUAACGGAGGAGCACGAAGGUACGCUCAGCGCGGUCGGACAUCGCGCACUGUGUGCAAAGGCAUAAGCGUGCUUGACUGCAAGAUCGACGGAUCAAGCAGGUACGAAAGUAGGUCUUAGUGAUCCGGUGGUUCUGUAUGGAAGGGCCAUCGCUCAACGGAUAAAAGGUACUCCGGGGAUAACAGGCUGAUACCGCCCAAGAGUUCAUAUCGACGGCGGUGUUUGGCACCUCGAUGUCGGCUCAUC